GAUGAACGCUGGCGGCGUGCCUAAUACAUGCAAGUCGAGCGAAUGGAUUAAGAGCUUGCUCUUAUGAAGUUAGCGGCGGACGGGUGAGUAACACGUGGGUAACCUGCCCAUAAGACUGGGAUAACUCCGGGAAACCGGGGCUAAUACCGGAUAACAUUUUGAACCGCAUGGUUCGGAAUUGAAAGGCGGCUUCGGCUGUCACUUAUGGAUGGACCCGCGUCGCAUUAGCUAGUUGGUGAGGUAACGGCUCACCAAGGCAACGAUGCGUAGCCGGCCGGAGGGGGUGAUCGGCCACACUGGGACUGAGACACGGCCCAGACUCCUACGGGAGGCAGCAGUAGGGAAUCUUCCGCAAUGGACGAAAGUCUGACGGAGCAACGCCGCGUGAGUGAUGAAGGCUUUCGGGUCGUAAAACUCUGUUGUUAGGGAAGAACAAGUGCUAGUUGAAUAAGCUGGCACCUUGACGGUACCUAACCAGAAAGCCACGGCUAACUACGUGCCAGCCGCCGCGGUAA
rnacentral:rRNA from 1 species